rnacentral:rRNA from 1 species
UCGGGAGUAACAACCUGGAAACAAGAUGCUAAUACCGGAUAACAACAGAUGAUGCCUAUCAACUGUUUAAAAGAUGGUUCUGCUAUCACUCUUGGAUGGACCUGCGGUGCAUUAGCUAGUUGGUAGGGUAACGGCCUACCAAGGCGAUGAUGCAUAGCCGAGUUGAGAGACUGAUCGGCCACAUUGGGACUGAGACACGGCCCAAACUCCUACGGGAGGCAGCAGGC